AGUGAACGCUGGCGGCGUGCUUAACACAUGCAAGUCGAACGAGUAAGUGCUGAAGUAAUACAGAUUACUGCUAGUGGCAGACGGGUGAGUAAUACAUGGGAAUCUGCCUUAGAGCCUGGGAUAACUGUUGGAAACGACAGCUAAUACCGGAUAACACCGAGAGGUCAAAGAUUUAUCGCUUUAAGAUGAGCCCAUGCAAGAUUAGCUAGUUGGUAGGGUAAAGGCCUACCAAGGCGAAGAUCUUUAGCUGGUUUGAGAGGAUGAUCAGCCACACUGGAACUGAGACACGGUCCAGACUCCUACGGGGGGCGA
rnacentral:rRNA from 1 species